UGGCCUAUGGUGUAAUUGGUAACACAGCAGAUUUUGGUUCUGUCAUUCUAGGUUCGAGUCCUAGUAGGCCAACAA
rnacentral:tRNA from 2 species